GACGAACGCUGGCGGCGUGCUUAACACAUGCAAGUCGAACGGUAAGGCUCCAGCUUGCUGGGGUACACGAGUGGCGAACGGGUGAGUAACACGUGGGUGACCUGCCCUGCACUUCGGGAUAAGCCUGGGAAACUGGGUCUAAUACCGGAUAGGACCGCACCGUGAGGGUGUGGUGGAAAGUUUUUUCGGUGUGGGAUGGGCCCGCGGCCUAUCAGCUUGUUGGUGGGGUAAUGGCCUACCAAGGCGGCGACGGGUAGCCGGCCUGAGAGGGUGGACGGCCACAUUGGGACUGAGACACGGCCCAGACUCCUACGGGAGGCAGCAGUGGGGAAUAUUGCACAAUGGGCGGAAGCCUGAUGCAGCGACGCCGCGUGGGGGAUGACGGCCUUCGGGUUGUAAGCUCCUUUCACCAUCGACGAAGGGUUUCUGACGGUAGAUGGAGAAGAAGCACCGGCUAACUACGUG
rnacentral:rRNA from 1 species